rnacentral:rRNA from 1 species
UACGUAGGGGGCUAGCGUUAUCCGGAAUUACUGGGCGUAAAGGGUGCGUAGGCGGAAGAUUAAGUCGGUGGUGAAAUUUUGCAGCUCAACUGUAAAAGUGCCAUUGAUACUGGUUUUCUUGAGUGUGGAUGAAGUAGGCGGAAUUUGUGGUGUAGCGGUGAAAUGCAUAGAUAUCACGAGGAACUCCGAUUGCGCAGGCAGCUUACUAAACUACUACUGACGCUCAGGCACGAAGGCGUGGGGAUCAAACAGGAUUAGAUACCCCUGUA